rnacentral:tRNA from 1 species
GGGGAUUUGGCUUAGUGGUAGAGUGCUUGCCUAGCAAGCGCAAGGCCCUGGGUUCGAUCCCCAGCUCCA